rnacentral:lncRNA from 1 species
AGUUCAACUAAAAAAUGCUUGAACAGUUCUUUUCGAACUUGAUAUAAUGUAUAAUUUUUGCUGUCUGAAAUUAUAUCCAUGUAUUUGUCUUUUGAAGUCACAUAUAUUCAAUCUGAUCUCAAAGAUUAUGAGGCAGAUGAGACCUGUUAAAGGGGAUGAAUGAUACAGUUUAUCGGUCGUUCAAACUGUCAAUAUCACUGCUCCGCUCUUACCCCUUACCAUGCGGUACCGUCAUAUCACAGGCGUACCAAAUCCACCGUUUUUUGGCUCCAAUACACUUUAUCGCUUAUCACGACUGACCCGGCC